GACGAACGCUGGCGGCGUGCUUAACACAUGCAAGUCGAACGGAAAGGCCCUGCUUUUGGGGGGUGCUCGAGUGGCGAACGGGUGAGUAACACGUGAGUAACCUGCCCUUGACUUUGGGAUAACUUCAGGAAACUGGGGCUAAUACCGGAUAGGAGCUCCUGCUGCAUGGUGGGGGUUGGAAAGUUUCGGCGGUUGGGGAUGGACUCGCGGCUUAUCAGCUUGUUGGUGGGGUAGUGGCUUACCAAGGCUUUGACGGGUAGCCGGCCUGAGAGGGUGACCGGCCACAUUGGGACUGAGAUGCGGCCCAGACUCCUACGGGAGGCAGCAGUGGGGAAUAUUGCACAAUGGGCGGAAGCCUGAUGCAGCAACGCCGCGUGCGGGAUGACGGCCUUCGGGUUGUAAACCGCUUUCGCCUGUGACGAAGCGUGAGUGACGGUAAUGGGUAAAGAAGCACCGGCUAACUACGUG
rnacentral:rRNA from 1 species